GGGCAGUUAGCUCAGGGGGAGAGCGCUACCUUGACACGGUAGAGGUCACUGGUUCGAUCCCAGUACUGCCCACCA
rnacentral:tRNA from 7 species